GACGAACGCUGGCGGCGUGCUUAACACAUGCAAGUCGAGCGGUAAGGCCCUUUCGGGGGUACACGAGCGGCGAACGGGUGAGUAACACGUGGGUGACCUGCCCUCAGCUCUGGGAUAAGCCUGGGAAACCGGGUCUAAUACCGGAUAUGACUCCAUGACGCAUGUUGUGGGGUGGAAAGCCUUGUGCGGCUGAGGAUGGGCCCGCGGCCUAUCAGCUUGUUGGUGGGGNGAUGGCCUACCAAGGCGACGACGGGUAGCCGGCCUGAGAGGGCGACCGGCCACACUGGGACUGAGACACGGCCCAGACUCCUACGGGAGGCAGCAGUGGGGAAUCUUGCGCAAUGGGCGAAAGCCUGACGCAGCGACGCCGCGUGAGGGAUGACGGCCUC
rnacentral:rRNA from 1 species